rnacentral:rRNA from 1 species
UAAUACGAAGGGGGCUAGCGUUGCUCGGAAUGACUGGGCGUAAAGGGCGCGUAGGCGGCUUGUACAGUCAGAUGUGAAAUUCCUGGGCUCAACCUGGGGGCUGCAUUUGAUACGUAUGGGCUUGAGUGGGGAAGAGGGUCGUGGAAUUCCCAGUGUAGAGGUGAAAUUCGUAGAUAUUGGGAAGAACACCGGUGGCGAAGGCGGCGACCUGGUCCUUGACUGACGCUGAGGCGCGAAAGCGUGGGGAGCAAACAGGAUUAGAUACCCUGGUAGUCCACGCCGUAAACGAUGUGCGCUGGAUGUUGGGCGGCCUAGCCGUUCAGUGUCGCAGCUAACGCGAUAAGCGCACCGCCUGGGGAGUACGGCCGCAAGGUUG